UUGACCUCGGAUCAGGUAGGGAUACCCGCUGAAUAAGC
rnacentral:rRNA from 1 species